UGGCGCCCAAUGUGGGGCAGGAGAAUGGGGGACUUUGUGAGGGACGCUGUUCGUGGGCCCAAAGUAAAAAAAAAGGAAAAGAAAAUAGAAGACUUGGUGACGUGGGAGCCUCCCAAGCUGCGCUAAACCUUGGUAAGUGAACAGCAAUUAUGGGGCAAGAAAUUAGCCAGCAUCAGAUUUUUGUUGAAAGUUUAGGAAAGGCUUUAAAGACACAAAGAGUAAAGGAAAAAAUUAAACAAUUGUGUCCAUUAGGGCUUAAUAAAUUUU
rfam:Cavia porcellus supercont2_7 genomic scaffold, whole genome shotgun sequence.